rnacentral:rRNA from 1 species
AGAGUUUGAUCAUGGCUCAGAUUGAACGCUGGCGGCAGGCCUAACACAUGCAAGUCGAGCGGUAGCACAGAGAGCUUGCUCUCGGGUGACGAGCGGCGGACGGGUGAGUAAUGUCUGGGAAACUGCCUGAUGGAGGGGGAUAACUACUGGAAACGGUAGCUAAUACCGCAUAAUGUCGCAAGACCAAAGUGGGGGACCUUCGGGCCUCAUGCCAUCAGAUGUGCCCAGAUGGGAUUAGCUAGUAGGUGGGGUAACGGCUCACCUAGGCGACGAUCCCUAGCUGGUCUGAGAGGAUGACCAGCCACACUGGAACUGAGACACGGUCCAGACUCCUACGGGAGGCAGCAGUGGGGAAUAUUGCACAAUGGGCGCAAGCCUGAUGCAGCCAUGCCGCGUGUGUGAAGAAGGCCUUCGGGUUGUAAAGCACUUUCAGCGGGGAGGAAGGCGGUGAGGUUAAUAACCUCAUCGAUUGACGUUACCCGCAGAAGAAGCACCGGCUAACUCCGUGCCAGCAGCCGCGGUAAUACGGAGGGUGCAAGCGUUAAUCGGAAUUACUGGGCGUAAAGCGCACGCAGGCGGUCUGUCAAGUCGGAUGUGAAAUCCCCGGGCUCAACCUGGGAACUGCAUUCGAAACUGGCAGGCUAGAGUCUUGUAGAGGGGGGUAGAAUUCCAGGUGUAGCGGUGAAAUGCGUAGAGAUCUGGAGGAAUACCGGUGGCGAAGGCGGCCCCUGGACAAAGACUGACGCUCAGGUGCGAAAGCGUGGGGAGCAAACAGGAUUAGAUACCCUGGUAGUCCACGCCGUAAACGAUGUCGAUUUGGAGGUUGUGCCCUUGAGGCGUGGCUUCCGGAGCUAACGCGUUAAAUCGACCGCCUGGGGAGUACGGCCGCAAGGUUAAAACUCAAAUGAAUUGACGGGGCCCGCACAAGCGGUGGAGCAUGUGGUUUAAUUCGAUGCAACGCGAAGAACCUUACCUGGUCUUGACAUCCACAGAACUUUCCAGAGAUGGAUUGGUGCCUUCGGGAACUGUGAGACAGGUGCUGCAUGGCUGUCGUCAGCUCGUGUUGUGAAAUGUUGGGUUAAGUCCCGCAACGAGCGCAACCCUUAUCCUUUGUUGCCAGCGGUCCGGCCGGGAACUCAAAGGAGACUGCCAGUGAUAAACUGGAGGAAGGUGGGGAUGACGUCAAGUCAUCAUGGCCCUUACGACCAGGGCUACACACGUGCUACAAUGGCAUAUACAAAGAGAAGCGACCUCGCGAGAGCAAGCGGACCUCAUAAAGUAUGUCGUAGUCCGGAUUGGAGUCUGCAACUCGACUCCAUGAAGUCGGAAUCGCUAGUAAUCGUAGAUCAGAAUGCUACGGUGAAUACGUUCCCGGGCCUUGUACACACCGCCCGUCACACCAUGGGAGUGGGUUGCAAAAGAAGUAGGUAGCUUAACCUUCGGGAGGGCGCUUACCACUUUGUGAUUCAUGACUGGGGUGAAGUCGUAACAAGGUAACCGUAGGGGAACCUGCGGUUG